UAAAGAAUUUCGGUCAUCGAUGGGGAUGCGUUCCAUUAGCUUGUUGGCGGGGUAACGGCCCACCAAGGCAUCGAUGGAUAGGGGUUCUGAGAGGAAGGUCCCCCACAUUGGAACUGAGACACGGUCCAAACUCCUACGGGAGGCAGCAGUGAGGAAUAUUGGUCAAUGGGCGCUAGCCUGAACCAGCCAAGUAGCGUGAAGGAUGACUGCCCUAUGGGUUGUAAACUUCUUUUAUAUGGGAAUAAAGUGCAGUAUGUAUACUGCUUUGCAUGUACCUUAUGAAUAAGGAUCGGCUAACUCCGUGCCAGCAGCCGCGGUAAUACGGAGGAUCCGAGCGUUAUCCGGAUUUAUUGGGUUUAAAGGGAGCGUAGGCGGGUUGUUAAGUCAGUUGUGAAAGUUUGCGGCUUAACCGUAAAAUUGCAGUUGAUACUGGCAUCCUUGAGUACAGUAGAGGUAGGCGGAAUUCGUGGUGUAGCGGUGAAAUGCUUAGAUAUCACGAAGAACUCCGAUUGCGAAGGCAGCCUGCUGGACUGUAACUGACGCUGAUGCUCGAAAGUGUGGGUAUCAAACAGGAUUAGAUACCCUGGUAGUCCACACA
rnacentral:rRNA from 1 species